AUAGUACUCCCUCCGUCCGGAAUUACUUGUCAUAAAAGUGGAUAAUAAUGGAUGUAUCUAGAAAAAAAAUACAUCUAGAUAUAUCCAUUCCUCCAACAAGUAUUUCCGGACGGAGAGAGUAGCAA
rfam:Hordeum vulgare subsp. vulgare, WGS project CAJW01000000 data, contig: morex_contig_46946